rnacentral:rRNA from 1 species
GUGAGGAAUAUUGGUCAAUGGGCGCAAGCCUGAACCAGCCAUGCCGCGUGCAGGAAGACGGUCCUAUGGAUUGUAAACUGCUUUUAUUUGGGAAUAAACUCCGGUACGUGUACCGGCCUGAAGGUACCAAAUGAAUAAGCACCGGCUAACUCCGUGCCAGCAGCCGCGGUAAUACGGAGGGUGAAAGCGUUAUCCGGAAUCAUUGGGUUUAAAGGGUCCGCAGGCGGUCUUAUAAGUCAGUGGUGAAAGCCUACAGCUCAACUGUAGAACUGCCAUUGAUACUGUAGGACUUGAAUUCGAUCGAAGUGGGCGGAAUGUGACAUGUAGCGGUGAAAUGCUUAGAUAUGUCACAGAACACCGAUAGCGAAGGCAGCUCACUAGGUCUGGAUUGACGCUCAGGGACGAAAGCGUGGGGAGCAAACAGGAUUAGAAACCCGAGUAGUCC